CUCCCUUAAGAAUCAAGUUUCUGGGACAAGAGUCCAAAGAGUAGUUGGAAAAGCAGUCUCUUUCCUUAGGAAUUAUUAACAUUCUGUGUUUUCACUAGUAUAUUAAUUAUUAUAGCUGUUUUCUUGUCUGUAACCAGGCAUUCACUACUGGACUAAAAAUGGCUGUGGAAUUUGCUUUAGGAAGGACCAGCUGAAGCAGCUGUCCAUUAACAUCACUAUCCAACAAAUCGUACACUUGGGACAUCUGAUGGUGAAGAAAAAUAAUAUUUAGAAAGUUCAACUUGCUUCAUACUACUCAAGUGAAAUUUUAAUGGGAACUUGUCUGUUGUCUCGGCUUGUUCAUGUCUGGGCAUAAGGCAGAAACUGGAAAAGUGGAGAGAGAGAAUAUCUCAGCAGUUGUUGGAUAAUUGAUUGAAAGAGGAAGUGGAUUAAUAUAGUGGCAGAAGACCUGCCCAGCUACUAGGCAAAGCAAUGGGAUACCAAAUAUGAAAAUUAAAAAAGGGAUCACAGAGGAAAAGAGCUACCUCUGUCUGGGGAAACACCAACGGGAUCUAAGAUCAAGAGACAGACUUUCUCUAUUUUGACCAGGUUGGUCUUGAACUCUUUGGCUCAAGUGAUCCACCUGCCUCAGGCUCUCAAGUGCUGGGAUUACAGCUGCACACCACCAUGCCCAGUCUAAAUCAACUCUCAGAGAAAGGAUUACUCUGCCUGCUCCACUCAUUUUCAUCUAUGACUUUGGGACACUUAAUUUAAUGCCAAAGUAACUUAGGUAAGAAUUAUACUCUCUAUUUUCCUUCUGUUAUC
rnacentral:lncRNA from 1 species